CGGCGGUGAUUACUUUCUUAUAUGCAAUGAAAUGUAGUGGGAAAUUUUCACUGUAUCACUGGAAAGGAUUGAACUUUACACAUGCAAAGUAUUUCUUUGGUUGAAAUAAAGUGUUGACCAUGUUCUGAAGAGCAUUCUGUUGAAAAAUCUUAUAUGUGAAUUGGUCUGCAGAUGACACUUCAGCAUUAAA